rnacentral:rRNA from 1 species
CCACUUCGGAUGCUCGAGUUUUCAGCAGAUAGAGUUUGAUCCUGGCUCAGAUUGAACGCUGGCGGCAUGCCUUACACAUGCAAGUCGAACGGUAACAGGCCGCAAGGUGCUGACGAGUGGCGAACGGGUGAGUAAUGCAUCGGAACGUGCCCAGAGGUGGGGGAUAACGCAGCGAAAGCUGUGCUAAUACCGCAUGUGAUCUGAGGAUGAAAGCGGGGGACCGAGAGGCCUCGCGCCUUUGGAGCGGCCGAUGUCGGAUUAGCUAGUUGGUGGGGUAAAGGCCUACCAAGGCGACGAUCCGUAGCUGGUCUGAGAGGACGACCAGCCACACUGGGACUGAGACACGGCCCAGACUCCUACGGGAGGCAGCAGUGGGGAAUUUUGGACAAUGGGCGCAAGCCUGAUCCAGCAAUGCCGCGUGCGGGAAGAAGGCCUUCGGGUUGUAAACCGCUUUUGGCAGGAACGAAAGGCUCUGGGCUAAUACCCUGGGGUGAUGACGGUACCUGCAGAAUAAGCACCGGCUAACUACGUGCCAGCAGCCGCGGUAAUACGUAGGGUGCGAGCGUUAAUCGGAAUUACUGGGCGUAAAGCGUGCGCAGGCGGUUGUGCAAGACAGGCGUGAAAUCCCCGGGCUUAACCUGGGAAUGGCGCUUGUGACUGCACGGCUGGAGUGCGGCAGAGGGGGAUGGAAUUCCGCGUGUAGCAGUGAAAUGCGUAGAUAUGCGGAGGAACACCGAUGGCGAAGGCAGUCCCCUGGGGCCUGCACUGACGCUCAUGCACGAAAGCGUGGGGAAGCAAACAGGAUUAGAUACCCCUGGUUAGUCCACGCCCUAAACGAUGUCGACUGGUUGUUGGCCUUUAGGUGCCUCAGUAACGAAGCUAACGCGAGAAGUCGACCAGCCUGGGAGUAUACGGCCGCAAGUUGAAACUCAAGGAAUUGACUGACUCUGUCUGAAGAAGCUGCCUACGAGUAUGCUCAGACUGCAUAGUAGAUUGCAAGGUUGCAUUCAGUCUGUGUCCGUCGCAAGCCAUCUGUUCUUAG